CCUACGGGUGGCAGCAGUGGGGAAUAUUGCACAAUGGGGGAAACCCUGAUGCAGCGACGCCGCGUGAGUGAAGAAGUAAUUCGGUAUGUAAAGCUCUAUCAGCAGGGAAGAAAAUGACGGUACCUGAGUAAGAAGCCCCGGCUAACUACGUGCCAGCAGCCGCGGUAAUACGUAGGGGGCAAGCGUUAUCCGGAUUUACUGGGUGUAAAGGGAGCGUAGGCGGGAGUGCAAGUCUGGAGUGAAAGGCGGGGGCUCAACCCCCGGACUGCUCUGGAAACUGGACGGCUGGAGUGCAGGAGAGGUAAGGGGGAAUUCUUGUGUAGCGGUGGAAUGCGUAGAUAUAUGGAAGAACACCAGUGGCGAAGGCGGCUUUCUGGACUGCAACUGACGCUGAGGCUCGAAAGCGUGGGGAGCAAACAGGAUUAGAUACCCGUGUAGUC
rnacentral:rRNA from 1 species